GGACUUAACAGGUCCUCCCAGUCUGUCAGGCCUGGGCAGCCCUGUCCUGUCUUAGGACUCAGAAAGUCCAGUCCUGAGAUGGGACGGUGCUGCCCAGGGUGGGUGGCCAGGGCCUGACAGCAGUCCUCCAGGGAGUGACCACAUCACCCAGCCGGGGUCCAGGGAUCCUGGCCUGAGACCUGCCCAGUGCAUUGAGGGGACACCUGGAGCCCACUCCACCUGAUGCCCCCGUAACCCUCACAGGGUCUGACCUCCCAGAAUGCACCUGUCUCUCCUUGCACCCCAGAUGUCCACCCUGUCUGUUUCCUGGCUUCCUCCAUCCUGUCCAGCAGGAUGGGCUGGACAGUGGGAAGCCUGUGUGCACAUUUUGUGGCAAGUAGGAGUGACAUACCAUCCCUGGGAGGCACCAUGGUUUCUGCCAAACCCAGCCCCAGAACUCUGUCCCUGAGGUGGUUUUACCAAACCCAAAACCCAGAACUGCAGUUGUGGCUCAGGGGUCAGCACCCGCUAGUGCCAGGACACUACUGGGAGACUGGUUCCUGACCAAAGCCCAUGGUGUCUGUGGCCUGAGGACAGGGUGUCUUGGGACCCAGGCCACCAAUGGCCAUUGGGUCAUAGGGUCUCACUCCCAGUGUUUGUCCUUCCCUGGCUCCUUCUAGUUCAGACCCACCAGGGCCCUGGAGCCCAAGACCCAGCACCAAAGGUCCCCUCCAGGAAUCCUGGUGGCUUGGCUUACUUUAUCGUGUUUCAUCUGAGAGCAAAAAUGUCAGAUCAGAUGCACAGAAAAAUGGCUCAAAGUGCUUAAUGACUAGAAGAAAUUUAAGAGCAGCAAGAAGACGCCUCAGCUGCUCUACAGGGGAGUCCACUUUCAGGUGUGCAGCUGGGCAUGGUCACUGCUGCUGGAUGUCUGGACGGCGGAAACAAAGGACCUAGGAAAACACCAGGUACAGCCUUUCCACCCUCAUCCAGAGCAGGACAAACAGGUCAGGUGGGGUCAGGAGCCCAGGUCUCCAGCUGGAGGGAACGUCAACCCUGCAGUGGAAACAGGGGCCCAUCGCGCAUCCUAGGCACAGAUGGUAAUGUAGGCACCGGAGAAGCACUGCUGACUGUCUGGUGGUUACCGUUUGUGGCAGUGAGCCUUUUGUCCAUUCUGAGAUUUGAUUGGUUUCUCCUUUUGGCCCUGCCCUGCCCUAGAGACCAUAAGGAGAACAACAAGAGGCCCCCAGCAAACAUCCACAGAUGGCCCUGGACAUCAGCCAGAUUCUGAGAAACAUGUCAUGUUCUGGGAGGGCUAAGGCACCAAGAAUUCUAGUGACUAUGUUGCCACCAUCUUGGAGCUCCAUGCCCUCAUAGUGUAAUGGCACCAGCAGAUCUGCCUGUGCACGGACUUCUGUACUAGCUCACUCCUGAGGGGUGAUGCUUCUGCAGGGCCUAUGACCUGGUGCACAACUUUAGACACCAUCAUCGUGGAGCAGCACUGCACCCUUACUAGCCAGGGUGUUGAUGACAUCCUCAAGGCCAAGGCCACAUUCAAGACUUUGAACUUCAGUGAUGCACUUGUGCUGGGCAAG